AUUGAACGCUGGCGGCAUGCUUUACACAUGCAAGUCGAACGGUAACAGGCCGCAAGGUGCUGACGAGUGGCGAACGGGUGAGUAAUGCAUCGGAACGUGCCCAGUCGUGGGGGAUAACGCAGCGAAAGCUGUGCUAAUACCGCAUACGAUCUAUGGAUGAAAGCGGGGGACCGUAAGGCCUCGCGCGAUUGGAGCGGCCGAUGUCAGAUUAGGUAGUUGGUGGGGUAAAGGCUCACCAAGCCAACGAUCUGUAGCUGGUCUGAGAGGACGACCAGCCACACUGGGACUGAGACACGGCCCAGACUCCUACGGGAGGCAGCAGUGGGGAAUUUUGGACAAUAGGCGCAAGCCUGAUCCAGCAAUGCCGCGUGCAGGAAGAAGGCCUUCGGGUUGUAAACUGCUUUUGUACGGAACGAAACGGCUCUGGUUAAUACCUGGGGCUAAUGACGGUACCGUAAGAAUAAGCACCGGCUAACUACGUGCCAGCAGCCGCAGUAACAC
rnacentral:rRNA from 1 species